rnacentral:tRNA from 1 species
GUACCAAUAAUCUAGUGGUAGAAUAGUAUCCUGCCACAGUACAAACCUUGGUUCGAGUCCCAGAUGGUGCA